CGGAGAGUUUGAUCCUGGCUCAGAACGAACGCUGGCGGCGUGGAUUAGGCAUGCAAGUCGUACGCGAAAGAGGGGGUAACCCCUCAAGUAGAGUGGCGAACGGGUGAGUAACGCGUGAGAAACCUGCCUUCAACAGGGGGAUAACACUCCUAACGGAGUGCUAAUACCGCAUGAGACCACGGGAUCGCAUGAUCCUGAGGUCAAAGGUGGCCUCUAUUUAUAAGCUACCGGUUGAAGAUGGUCUCGCGUCCCAUUAGCUAGUUGGCGGGGUAACGGCCCACCAAGGCGACGAUGGGUAGCUGGUCUGAGAGGAUGGUCAGCCACACUGGGACUGAGAUACGGCCCAGACUCCUACGGGAGGCAGCAGUCGAGAGGCUUCGGCAAUGGGGGCAACCCUGACCGAGCGACGCCGCGUGGAGGAUGAAGGCCUUUGGGUCGUAAACUCCUUUUGUUCGGGAAGAAAUGCGAUCAGGUGAACAAUCUGGUCGUUUGACGGUACCGGACGAAUAAGCUCCGGCUAACUCCGUGCCAGCAGCCGCGGUAACACGGGGGGAGCAAGCGUUGUUCGGAAUCACUGGGCGUAAAGGGCGUGUAGGCGGUUAGGUAAGUGGAAUGUGAAAUGCCUCGGCUUACCCGAGGCACUGCAUCCCAAACUGCUUGACUUGAGUACGGGAGAGGAUGAAGGAAUUCCUGGUGUAGCGGUGAAAUGCGUAGAUAUCAGGAGGAACACCGGUGGCGAAAGCGUUCAUCUGGCCCGUAACUGACGCUGAGGCGCGAAAGCUAGGGGAGCAAACGGGAUUAGAUACCCCGGUAGUCCUAGCCGUAAACGGUGAUCACUAGGUGUUGGAGGCAUCGACCCCUCCAGUGCCGCAGCUAACGCAUUAAG
rnacentral:rRNA from 1 species